rnacentral:tRNA from 1 species
GGCGGCAUAGCUCAGUUGGCUAGAGCAUCCGGUUCAUACCCGGCAGGUCGUAGGUUCAAGUCCCACUGCCGCUACCA